UACGUAGGGUGCAAGCGUUAAUCGGAAUUACUGGGCGUAAAGCGUGCGCAGGCGGUUUUGCAAGUCAGAUGUGAAAUCCCCGGGCUUAACCUGGGAACUGCAUUUGAGACUGCACAGCUGGAGUGCGGCAGAGGGGGAUGGAAUUCCGCGUGUAGCAGUGAAAUGCGUAGAUAUGCGGAGGAACACCGAUGGCGAAGGCAAUCCCCUGGGCCUGAACUGACGCUCAUGCACGAAAGCGUGGGGAGCAAACAGG
rnacentral:rRNA from 1 species